AGGGUUUGAUCAUGGCUCAGGACGAACGCUGGCGGAGUGCUUUAAGCAUGCAAGUGGGACGGGCAGUAGCAAUACUGUCAGUCGCGAACGGCUGAGUAAUGAGUAAGAAUCUUUCCUUUGGUGGGGAAUACCUCGUCGAAAGACGAGCUAAUACCGCAUAACAUCUACGGAUAAAAGCGCAUAACUGCGCGCCGAUUGAGGAGCUUACUUCCCAUCAGGCAGUUGGCAGGGUAAUGGCCUACCAAACCUACGACGGGUACCCGAUCUGAGAGGAUGACCGGGCAGAAUGGGACUGAGACACGGCCCAUACACCUACGGGUGGCAGCAACUGGGAAUCGUACGCAAUGGACGAAAGUCUGACGUCGCGACUCCGCGUGAAGGAUGAAGGCGUAUUCGUUGUAAACUUCUUUUGCCAAUGUAGAGAUGCAUUGGAGAAUAAGCACCUGCUAAUCUCGUGCCAGCCGCCGCGGUAAUAC
rnacentral:rRNA from 1 species